GAUGAACGCUGACAGAAUGCUUAACACAUCAGCAAUGGAUUGGUGGCAGACGGGUGAGUAACGCGUAAAGAACUUACCUCACAGGAAGGAACAACAUUUGGAACCGAAUGCUAAUACCUAAUACUGUGAGAGCGCUUUGCGUCCCAUUAGCUAGUUGGAGAGUUAACGGCUCACCAAGGCGAGGAUGGGUAGCCGGCCUGAGAGGGUGAUCGGGCACAAGGGGACGGGGACACGGCCCUUAAUCCUACGGGAGGCAGGAGUGGGGAAUAGUGGACAAUGGACCAAAGUCUGAUCCAGCAAUUCGGUGUGCACGAUGAAGUUUUCGGAAUGUAAAGUGCUUUCAGUUGGGAAGCGGUACCAACAGAAGAAGUGACGGCUAAAUACGUACCAGCAGCCGCGGUAAUAC
rnacentral:rRNA from 1 species